CGCCGAACCCUCUCCCGAUAUCGCGCGUUGGAUCGCUGUUUCCUCCCCCAAAAUCGCGCGCCCUCCUCUCAAAAAAAAUCGCGCGCCCCCAUCUUUUUCCUCUCGCAAACGUCACCGCGCUUAUGCCGCCAUUCAUCGCCGAUUCCUUCGCCUCCACAUGAAGGGGUAGCCGAUUCCUCUGCCCCAAAUCCAGGUCGCCGAACCCCUGUCCCCAGCUCGUCGUCACUGAUUCCCCCUCUCACAUCACCGGGACCACCACCGCGUUUGGUCGGCGCCGAUCCCCAUCUCGAGCCGCCACUAAUCGCCGCCCAUCUCGAAGACCACAUCACCGCCUGAUCCUGCUUCCUCGCCGUCGACCUCCGCUCGUCGUUCACGGCCACACCACUGCCCACGAUCAUCUCCGAGUCACCACGCGGCGCGCAACCGUCACGUUCCAUCGCUGCCGCCCCCGUCAUCAAUUAUGCCUCCGCCAACGCCUCCAUCCGCGGCUCCACGCUCAAGUCGAUGCCGUCAACCCCACCGAUGAGGUAUUGACGUCAUCUACUCAACCGCUGCUUCACAUAUGUAAGUUGCAAACAGGUCUCUGAAAAUCCUCAUGAUCUGUUAAUUGCAUGUACAUAUGCAUUAGGCAAUAGGUUUGGUUAUGGAUAUAUAAAGCUUCAGUGAACAGUCAAGGUGGAGAUUUUGCGUCUUCAGUGAACAUGAUUUUGGAUGCUCUAUAAUUUUCUUGUAUUUUUUUUGUCAACUGAACUGUACAGAUCUAUAUAAUUCCAGCAAAUUUUCUCAAACAUGAUUCACAUGCUUCUUAUUCCUGCAAAUUUUGUUCUUCUACUUCUUUUCCUCUUGCAUAUGUCAACAUAAUGGAGUGACUAACUUUUGGGUAUUCUUGCCUUUUGAUUUGCAGACACUUCACAUAAAUCAACUGUGCAUAGACAUAUCCCAGAAGAAUGGAGUGACUAAAUAAAAUUUUGGUUGCUCCAAGCAUCUCUGAAAGAACUUGUUACCCUGUAUAGAAUUAAGUGAACAAUUUAAUUAAGUCCGAUUUGUCAUUCGAGGGUGCUUUUGAAGUAAUACGUGGUAUAUAUUAAAUUGCAUGACUUGCCUUUGAUGAAGCUAUAUCCUUAUGGUCAAAUGUCAUCUGUAACAUUUCAAAUUCAGGAUGGUAUGCAUGGGGGCGAUGAGCCUCAGAUUUCAAGUUUCCUUUUUUUUUAUCCCGUGUUUGACCUUUGAAUUGCAUCUCAGGCUUAGUAUCAUGGUUAAUCUGCCAACUUAUUCAAUAUCAUGGAAUAAAAUACAAAGAAAGAAUUUCACUCCAUAUGCUUUUGAAUCUAUCGCAGGGGUCAGAUUGUUGAGGUUCAUCUCAACAAUUCAACAAGGAUGACAUAACAGCUGUUGAAAUUUCUUGUUUCCUGCGUCCUGUCUCUGAUAUUCAGUUGCUUAUUCUGUCAUUUUUUUUUGCAGGAAUUGUCAUGUCACCUUGGUUGCUUUGCAGCUGCAAAUGGUAGAUGUCCAAAAGCAUCUGAGGGGUGGCUCAUAAUCCGGCUGCAAUAGAUUUUGAUGUUGUAUGUUUUCAUUUAACAUUGUAAAAUGAUGAAUGCCUUCUUUGUGAUGUUGAUCAGGGAUAAGAUGCCCAUGCUAUAUAUGUUUCUUUGUCAUUUGAGAUCAA